rnacentral:rRNA from 1 species
UACGUAGGGACCAAGCGUUGUUCGGAUUUACUGGGCGUAAAGGGCGCGUAGGCGGCAUGACAAGUCACUUGUGAAAUCUCCGGGCUUAACUCGGAACGGCCAAGUGAAACUGUCAAGCUAGAGUGCGGAAGGGGCAAUCGGAAUUCUUGGUGUAGCGGUGAAAUGCGUAGAUAUCAAGAGGAACACCUGAGGUGAAGACGGGUUGCUGGGCCGACACUGACGCUGAUGCGCGAAAGCCAGGGGAGCAAACGGG